CCAGACAGCCAGGAUGUUGGCUUAGAAGCAGCCAUCAUUUAAAGAAAGCGUAAUAGCUCACUGGUCGAGUCGGCCUGCGCGGAAGAUGUAACGGGGCUAAACCAUGCACCGAAGCUGCGGCAGCGACGUUUAUGCGUUGUUGGGUAGGGGAGCGUUCUGUAAGCCUGCGAAGGUGUACUGUGAGGUAUGCUGGAGGUAUCAGAAGUGCGAAUGCUGACAUAAGUAACGAUAAAGCGGGUGAAAAGCCCGCUCGCCGGAAGACCAAGGGUUCCUGUCCAACGUUAAUCGGGGCAGG
rnacentral:rRNA from 1 species